rnacentral:tRNA from 1 species
GUCGCUUUGGCCGAGUGGUUAAGGCGUGUGCCUGCUAAGUACGUGGAGUUUCCCCGCGAGAGUUCGAAUCUCUCAGGCGACG